rnacentral:lncRNA from 1 species
ACUCGUGUUUUUCUGGGUACCGAUGCUCCCCACAGAAUGUAUUCUCGCACCUGCACUUAAACCCAGUUAACCCAACCUUUUUCCUACAAAUAAAACACCUGUUCGCCGCCUUUGGUUCCGGUUGUUGAUUAACGGCAACAACAGCCGGUUGUUGUUGCUCAAUCGAUGUAGACGAAGAACCCACAUGAGGCUUAAAAGUCUCCACAACAACAGGUUCAUGCUUCGUUUUGAUACUGAGAGAUUUCUCCAUAACAGCUUUCGCCUUCGCCGCUUGCUCCUCCCCAACACGGAGGUCCCGGUAACACUUUGAACAUAAAUUCAUAUUCGCUGCCGUCCCGAAAAACCCACAACCGUUGGCACAA